GGGAGGGAUACUAGGCUCUGUGUUGACAGUGUGAGGCCUGCUUGGGAUUCUCUCCUUCCCCUCCUCCUCUCCUACCCUCUCUCCUUCUCCCCCUCACCCCCUCCUCCUCCUUCUCUUCUCCCCUCCUCCUCCUUCUCUUAUCCCCUCCUCCUCCCCCUCCCUCUGACAGCGAGCUGCCCAUCUGGCAAAACCCUCCGUGGUGGCCGAAAGACCUGGAGAGCAGAGGACCCACCGCAGGGACAUCGGAGACUCGAUGCUCUCCUGUCUGCGCCUUAGGAGUAGCUCUCCAGUCUUCACAGCGAGGAACUAAGGAGCCAGGGCCCUGGAGGUGGAGGGAAAGACAAGAGGGGAACCCAGGACAGGAUGCUCUUCCCUCUGGCACCUCCCACGGGCCGCUUCCCCGAGGGCCCUCAGCCCUGACCGCUUCUCUCCUUCUGGGCCGUCCCUGCGUCUUCGCUAUGGAAUGCAGCCCAACUUGGCAAUGCUGGAGCUCGAACCCCAGCCCCUAGGAAUCAUGUCAUCGCCAAAGCGAGGAGUGAGAGCUGCCCUGGACAUCGCGAGCCGUCGUGGGUGGAAGUCAGGAACUCUGUGGACACAUGUAAAUGAAGGCCAUGUCCCCUCCUUCAAUGCAGGCGCGCAGCUCACAAUUCACUCCACAAGCAGUUUCCUAGUCUGCUUUACAGCAAGGGAGCUGCGGUGCUGCCCCCAGUGGUUUGCCCCAGAC
rnacentral:lncRNA from 1 species